rnacentral:lncRNA from 1 species
UUGUCAUUUUUUCUUUUUGCUCGUGUCUCGUGUCCGCGUGAUAUUUUCGGUCCCAAAAAGACGGAUAAUUCCGUUCCGUGCGUCGUGUCCGCUUGUUGGUUGUGAUCGGUUCGACCGUUCGUGCCCGCCAAAAGUGCCCGUGCCAGGUUGAACCGAUCCGUACCCAGCCGUGUGCCGUAAAGGAGUGAACCGUGCCGGAAACCGCACUGCUCGUGGCAAGCCACGCAUUUUCUUUUGUGCAUGUUGGGGCCACUUGCCCAUUUUGCAUCGCGGGCCGCGUCGGAAAACGAUCCAGAAGUCGGAGCUCAACCCGGAUGCUGCUUUCAGUCGGAAAGGCGUGGCCGAUUUCAAGAAAAGCUCGAAAAGCUCAAGAUUCCACCGGCGACGGUCGACCAGCCGGAAUAUACGAAGAUGAAGAUGGUCCGCACCGCCGGGACCGUGGCCGACUUUAAGAAUAGCAAGAAAAUUACGGUGGCGGUCAGCCACUCCAGGCUAAACCUACCGAAAGAGGCGAAGAUAGAGAUGGUCCGCACAGCCGGGACCGUAGUCGAGUUCAAGAAAAACUAAAGAAUUCACCAGCGACGGUCAAUCACCUCGGGCUGCUGCUGAACCUACUAGAAGAGGGGAGGAGGAAGACCGGUCGCUCAGCCGGGACCGUGGACGAUUUCAAGAACCUAUCCAGAAGUAGGAGCUCAACUCGGGAUGCUGCUGAAUCCGUUGAGCGUGGCCGAUUUCAAGAACAUGUCUGAACUGAACCUGCUGGAAGAAGACGGUCCGCACAGCCGGGACCGAGACCGAUUUCAAGAAAAGCUGAUGUUGCUGCUGAACCUGCUAGAAGAGACGAAGAGGGGGAUGAUCUGCAAAGCCCAGACCGUGGCCAAUUUCUAGAAUACGACUUUGACCCCCUCGAAAAGCUCAAGUAUCCGCCGGCAACGGUCGACCACCUCUGGCUGCUGCAUAAUCUUCAAGAAGAGGCGAGGUUUAAGAAUCCGUCGAGGAGGGCCCACCGUCUCGGGAUGCUGCUGAACCUGCCGGAAGAGGAGAUGAAAAAGAUGGUCCGCAAAACUGGGACCGUGGCCGCUUUCAAGAACCUAUCCGAUUUCAAGAACAUCUCCUUGGCACCCUCGAAAAGCUGAACCUACCGGCGACGGUCGCCCACUUCGGACUGCUGCUGAACCUGCCGGAAGAGGUGGGGAGGAGGAAGGUCCGCUCAUCCGGGACGAGUUCACGGAAAGCUGGAGAGUCCACCGGCGAUGGACGACCACAUCGGGCUGCUAAUGAACCUGUCGGAAGAGGCGAGCAGCCAAAGACGGGGACCACCUCGAGCUGCUGCUGAACCAACCGGAAGAGAGGUUGGAGAUGGUUCGCAAAGCCGGGUCCGUGGUCGAUUUCGAGCUCAACCCGGGAAGCUGCUAAAUCUGUCAGAAAGGAGUCUGAACUGAACCUGCCGGAAGGAGAUGGUCCAGUGGUCCACAUAGCCGCAGGAGUUCCAGGGCGGCACCUUCAGCAUAUCCAACCUGAACAUGUUCGGCAUGACGCACUUUUGUGCCAUCAUCAACCCCGCUAGAGCUGUAUCCUUGCCAUCGAUGCUUUUCCGUUCCCUGGCUUCGGUUCCGUGGUCGAUUUCAAGAAAAGUUUAAGAAUCCGCUGGCCACGGUCGACCACUUCCAAGACAGCGCAGCGGCUCGUUAAUCAAAGUGUCAUUUUAAAAUAAAUAAACCGAGAUAAAGUAUA